GCAUUGGUGGUGUAACGGUUAGCAUGGUUGCCUUCCAAGCAGCCGAUCCGGGUUCAACUCCCGGCCAAUGCA
rnacentral:tRNA from 1 species